rnacentral:rRNA from 1 species
UAGGGAAUCUUCCACAAUGGACGAAAGUCUGAUGGAGCAACGCCGCGUGAGUGAAGAAGGGUUUCGGGUCGUAAAGCACUGUUGUAUGGGAAGAACAGCUAGAAUAGGAAAUGAUUUUAGUUUGACGGUACCAUACCAGAAAGGGACGGCUAAAUACGUGUCAG